rnacentral:rRNA from 1 species
ACCAGACUCCUACGGGAGGCAGCAGUGGGGAAUAUUGGGCAAUGGGCGCAAGCCUGACCCAGCAACGCCGCGUGAAGGAAGAAGGCUUUCGGGUUGUAAACUUCUUUUAUUCGGGACGAAGCAAGUGACGGUACCGAAUGAAUAAGCCACGGCUAACUACGUGCCAGCAGCCGCGGUAAUACGUAGGUGGCGAGCGUUAUCCGGAUUUACUGGGUGUAAAGGGCGUGUAGGCGGGAGUGCAAGUCAGAUGUGAAAGCUAUGGGCUCAACCCAUAGCCUGCAUUUGAAACUGUACUUCUUGAGUGCUGGAGAGGCAAUCGGAAUUCCGUGUGUAGCGGUGAAAUGCGUAGAUAUACGGAGGAACACCAGUGGCGAAGGCGGAUUGCUGGACAGUAACUGACGCUGAGGCGCGAAAGCGUGGGGAGCAAACAGGAUUAGAUACCCGCGUA